GCAGCAGAAUCAGUACCAGGUGUUUGUCUCUGUGUGUGUAGGACCUGAAGCAGCAGAAUCAGUACCAGGUGUUUGUCUCUGUGUGUUUAGGACCUGAAGCAGCAGAAUCAGUACCAGGUGUUUGUCUCUGUGUGUGUAGGACCUGAAGCAGCAGAAUCAGUACCAUGUGUUUGUCUCUGUGUGUCUAGGACCUGAAGCAGCAGAAUCAGUACCAGGUGUUUGUCUCUGUGUGUGUAGGACCUGAAGCAGCAGAAUCAGUACCAGGUGUUUGUCUCUGUGUGUGUAGGACCUGAAGCAGCAGAAUCAGUACCAGGUGUUUGUCUCUGUGUGUGUAGGACCUGAAGCAGCAGAAUCAGUACCAGGUGUUUGUCUCUGUGUGUUUAGGACCUGAAGCAGCAGAAUCAGUACCAGGUGUUUGUCUCUGUGUGUGUAGGACCUGAAGCAGCAGAAUCAGUACCAGGUGUUUGUCUCUGUGUGUCUAGGACCUGAAGCAGCAGAAUCAGUACCAGGUGUUUGUCUCUGUGUGUGUAGGACCUGAAGCAGCAGAAUCAGUACCAGGUGUUUGUCUCUGUGUGUGUAGGACCUGAAGCAGCAGAAUCAGUACCAGGUGUUUGUCUCUGUGUGUGUAGGACCUGAAGCAGCAGAAUCAGUACCAGGUGUUUGUCUCUGUGUGUUUAGGACCUGAAGCAGCAGAAUCAGUACCAGGUGUUUGUCUCUGUGUGUGUAGGACCUGAAGCAGCAGAAUCAGUACCAGGUGUUUGUCUCUGUGUGUGUAGGACCUGAAGCAGCAGAAUCAGUACCAGGUGUUUGUCUCUGUGUGUGUAGGACCUGAAGCAGCAGAAUCAGUACCAGGUGUUUGUCUCUGUGUGUGUAGGACCUGAAGCAGCAGAAUCAGUACCAGGUGUUUGUCUCUGUGUGUGUAGGACCUGAAGCAGCAGAAUCAGUACCAGGUGUUUGUCUCUGUGUGUGUAGGACCUGAAGCAGCAGAAUCAGUACCAGGUGUUUGUCUCUGUGUGUGUAGGACCUGAAGCAGCAGAAUCAGUACCAGGUGUUUGUCUCUGUGUGUGUAGGACCUGAAGCAGCAGAAUCAGUACCAGGUGUUUGUCUCUGUGUGUGUAGGACCUGAAGCAGCAGAAUCAGUACCAGGUGUUUGUCUCUGUGUGUGUAGGACCUGAAGCAGCAGAAUCAGUACCAGGUGUUUGUCUCUGUGUGUGUAGGACCUGAAGCAGCAGAAUCAGUACCAGGUGUUUGUCUCUGUGUGUCUAGGACCUGAAGCAGCAGAAUCAGUACCAGGUGUUUGUCUCUGUGUGUGUAGGACCUGAAGCAGCAGAAUCAGUACCAGGUGUUUGUCUCUGUGUGUUUAGGACCUGAAGCAGCAGAAUCAGUACCAGGUGUUUGUCUCUGUGUGUGUAGGACCUGAAGCAGCAGAAUCAGUACCAGGUGUUUGUCUCUGUGUGUGUAGGACCUGAAGCAGCAGAAUCAGUACCAGGUGUUUGUCUCUGUGUGUGUAGGACCUGAAGCAGCAGAAUCAGUACCAGGUGUUUGUCUCUGUGUGUGUAGGACCUGAAGCAGCAGAAUCAGUACCAGGUGUUUGUCUCUGUGUGUGUAGGACCUGAAGCAGCAGAAUCAGUACCAGGUGUUUGUCUCUGUGUGUGUAGGACCUGAAGCAGCAGAAUCAGUACCAGGUGUUUGUCUCUGUGUGUUUAGGACCUGAAGCAGCAGAAUCAGUACCAGGUGUUUGUCUCUGUGUGUGUAGGACCUGAAGCAGCAGAAUCAGUACCAGGUGUUUGUCUCUGUGUGUUUAGGACCUGAAGCAGCAGAAUCAGUACCAGGUGUUUGUCUCUGUGUGUGUAGGACCUGAAGCAGCAGAAUCAGUACCAGGUGUUUGUCUCUGUGUGUUUAGGACCUGAAGCAGCAGAAUCAGUACCAGGUGUUUGUCUCUGUGUGUGUAGGACCUGAAGCAGCAGAAUCAGUACCAGGUGUUUGUCUCUGUGUGUGUAUAGGGCCUGAAGCAGCAGAAUCAGUACCAGGUGUUUGUCUCUGUGUGUUUAGGACCUGAAGCAGCAGAAUCAGUACCAGGUUUUUGUCUCUGUGUGUGUAGGACCUGAA